rnacentral:rRNA from 1 species
AGCCCGUUAAUGGGUGAUGGCGUGCCUUUUGUAGAAUGAACCGGCGAGUUACGAUUUGAUGCAAGGUUAAGCAGUAAAUGUGGAGCCGUAGCGAAAGCGAGUCUGAAUAGGGCGUUUAGUAUUUGGUCGUAGACCCGAAACCAGGUGAUCUACCCUUGGUCAGGUUGAAGUUCAGGUAACACUGAAUGGAGGACCGAACCGACUUACGUUGAAAAGUGAGCGGAUGAACUGAGGGUAGCGGAGAAAUUCCAAUCGAACCUGGAGAUAGCUGGUUCUCUCCGAAAUAGCUUUAGGGCUAGCCUCAAGUGAUGAUUAUUGGAGGUAGAGCACUGUUUGGACGAGGGGCCCCUCUCGGGUUACCGAAUUCAGACAAACUCCGAAUGCCAAUUAAUUUAACUUGGGAGUCAGAACAUGGGUGAUAAGGUCCGUGUUCGAAAGGGAAACAGCCCAGACCACCAGCUAAGGUCCCAAAAUAUAUGUUAAGUGGAAAAGGAUGUGGCGUUGCCCAGACAACUAGGAUGUUGGCUUAGAAGCAGCCAUCAUUUAAAGAGUGCGUAAUAGCUCACUAGUCGAGUGACACUGCGCCGAAAAUGUACCGGGGCUAAACAUAUUACCGAAGCUGUGGAUUGUCCUUUGGACAAUGGUAGGAGAGCGUUCUAAGGGCGUUGAAGCAUGAUCGUAAGGACAUGUGGAGCGCUUAGAAGUGAGAAUGCCGGUGUGAGUAGCGAAAGACGGGUGAGAAUCCCGUCCACCGAUUGACUAAGGUUUCCAGAGGAAGGCUCGUCCGCUCUGGGUUAGUCGGGUCCUAAGCUGAGGCCGACAGGCGUAGGCGAUGGAUAACAGGUUGAUAUUCCUGUACCACCUAUAAUCGUUUUAAUCGAUGGGGGGACGCAGUAGGAUAGGCGAAGCGUGCGAUUGGAUUGCACGUCUAAGCAGUAAGGCUGAGUAUUAGGCAAAUCCGGUACUCGUUAAGGCUGAGCUGUGAUGGGGAGAAGACAUUGUGUCUUCGAGUCGUUGAUUUCACACUGCCGAGAAAAGCCUCUAGAUAGAAAAUAGGUGCCCGUACCGCAAACCGACACAGGUAGUCAAGAUGAGAAUUCUAAGGUGAGCGAGCGAACUCUCGUUAAGGAACUCGGCAAAAUGACCCCGUAACUUCGGGAGAAGGGGUGCUCUUUAGGGUUAACGCCCAGAAGAGCCGCAGUGAAUAGGCCCAAGCGACUGUUUAUCAAAAACACAGGUCUCUGCUAAACCGUAAGGUGAUGUAUAGGGGCUGACGCCUGCCCGGUGCUGGAAGGUUAAGAGGAGUGGUUAGCUUCUGCGAAGCUACGAAUCGAAGCCCCAGUAAACGGCGGCCGUAACUAUAACGGUCCUAAGGUAGCGAAAUUCCUUGUCGGGUAAGUUCCGACCCGCACGAAAGGCGUAACGAUUUGGGCACUGUCUCAACGAGAGACUCGGUGAAAUCAUAGUACCUGUGAAGAUGCAGGUUACCCGCGACAGGACGGAAAGACCCCGUGGAGCUUUACUGUAGCCUGAUAUUGAAAUUCGGCACAGCUUGUACAGGAUAGGUAGGAGCCUUUGAAACGUGAGCGCUAGCUUACGUGGAGGCGCUGGUGGGAUACUACCCUAGCUGUGUUGGCUUUCUAACCCGCACCACUUAUCGUGGUGGGAGACAGUGUCAGGCGGGCAGUUUGACUGGGGCGGUCGCCUCCUAAAAGGUAACGGAGGCGCUCAAAGGUUCCCUCAGAAUGGUUGGAAAUCAUUCAUAGAGUGUAAAGGCAU